rnacentral:rRNA from 1 species
UACGUACCGUCCAAACGUUAUUCGGAAUUACUGGGCUUAAAGGGUAUGUAGGCGGCGCUGUUAGUCGGGUGUGAAAUCCCACGGCUCAACCGUGGAACUGCGCCCGAUACUGCAGUGCUUGAGGGAGACAGAGGUAAGCGGAACUGAUGGUGGAGCGGUGAAAUGCGUUGAUAUCAUCAGGAACACCGGUGGCGAAAGCGGCUUACUGGGUCUCUUCUGACGCUGAGGCACGAAAGCGUGGGGAGCAAACAGG